rnacentral:rRNA from 1 species
GAUGAACGCUGGCGGCGUGCCUAAUACAUGCAAGUCGAGCGAACGGACGCGGAGCUUGCUUUUCUGAUGUUAGCGGCGGACGGGUGAGUAACACGUGGAUAACCUACCUAUCAGACUGGGAUAACUUCGGGAAACCGGAGCUAAUACCGGAUAAUAUUUUGAACCGCAUGGUUCAAAAGUGAAAGACGGUCUUGCUGUCUCUUAUAGAUUGAUCCGCGCUGCAUUAGCUAGUUGGUAAGGUAACGGCUUACCAAGGCAACGAUGCAUAGCCGACCUGAGAGGGUGAUCGGCCACACUGGAACUGAGACACGGUCCAGACUCCUACGGGAGGCAGCAGUAGGGAAUCUUCCGCAAUGGGCGAAAGCCUGACGGAGCAACGCCGCGUGAGUGAUGAAGGUCUUCGGAUCGUAAAACUCUGUUAUUAGGGAAGAACAAAUGUGUAAGUAACUGUGAACAUCUUGACGGUACCUAAUCAGAAAGCCACGGCUAACUACGUG